rnacentral:rRNA from 1 species
GACGAACCGUGCGAACGUUGUUCGGAUUCACUGGGCUUAAAGGGCGCGUAGGCGGACUCGCAAGUCUGUGGUGAAAGCCCCCAGCUCAACUGGGGAAGUGCCGUGGAUACUGCAAGUCUGGAGGAGGGUAGGGGCAUCUGGAACGCUGGGUGGAGCGGUGAAAUGCGUUGAUAUCCAGCGGAACUCCGGUGGCGAAGGCGAGGUGCUGGACCCUUUCUGACGCUGAGGCGCGAAAGCCAGGGGAGCAAAGCGGG